GACGAACGCUGGCGGCGUGCCUAAUACAUGCAAGUCGAGCGGACCUUCGGGGUUAGCGGCGGACGGGUGAGUAACACGUGGGUAAUCUGCCCAACUGACUGGAAUAACGCCUGGAAACGGGUGCUAAUGCUGGAUAGGCAACUGGUAGGCAUCUACCGGUUGGAAAGGUGCAACUGCACCGCAGAUGGAGGAGCCCGCGGCGCAUUAGCUAGUUGGUGGGGUAACGGCCUACCAAGGCGACGAUGCGUAGCCGACCUGAGAGGGUGGACGGCCACACUGGGACUGAGACACGGCCCAGACUCCUACGGGAGGCAGCAGUAGGGAAUCUUCCGCAAUGGGCGCAAGCCUGACGGAGCAACGCCGCGUGAGCGAAGAAGGCCUUCGGGUUGUAAAGCUCAGUCACUCGGGAAGAGCGGACGAGGGAGUGGAAAGCCCUCGUCGAGACGGUACCGAGAGAGGAAGCCCCGGCUAACUACGUG
rnacentral:rRNA from 1 species